GACGGAGGAUGCAAGUGUUAUCCGGAAUCACUGGGCGUAAAGCGUCUGUAGGUGGUUUAAUAAGUCAACUGUUAAAUCUUGAGGCUCAACCUCAAAAUCGCAGUCGAAACUAUUAGGCUAGAGUAUAGUAGGGGUAAAGGGAAUUUCCAGUGGAGCGGUGAAAUGCGUAGAUAUCGGGAGGAACACCUGUGGCGAAAGCGGCGCACUGGACCACAUCUGACGCUGAGGCGCGAAAGCUAGGGGAGCAAACAGG
rnacentral:rRNA from 1 species